CUCAAAUAAAGGAGUCUGGCAUUCUUCUGUCAGUGAUGCGUAUUUGCAAAUCAUGGAGAGAAGGAAAGGAGAAAGAGCUGCUCAAAUGAGGAAAAGUGGCAGACAAUGCUGAUGUUCAGUAGCAAGGUAGACACCAGCUCUUUUUUGUAAUUCUUAUGUUACAGUGCAUCUGUGCGUAUUUCAGUCUGCAGUUGGUGGCACUGAAGGAAUUGCUGUCAUGACCUUGGGGCAGUGCAGAUAUUCUCCAUGGAAACAUUGUCCAUCUUUUAAAACUAAGCAUGAAAUGCCUGAAAGCACCAGAUGUUAUUGAAAGGCAGUGUGCUCUUAGUUCUGAGAAAUAUGAAGUGCAGUCCACAAACCCUUCUCAGGCUCUGAUCAACGAAAACUUACCCUGGGAAGAUGAGAGCUGCUGCUUCUUGACACCUCUUCUGCUUGCCCUUUGCACCAGAAGGGCUCUCUCACAAUCAAAUGAAAAUCAAAUGAAAAUAUGCUUGUGAAUGUGGAUACUAGUCUGGGGAUGUGGGAGGAAGGAAAGUGGUUACUCUUUAAUGUUGUUUUUGUUGUGGUGGUGUUUCUGUUUUGUUUUUGAUUUCUAAGUUCCCCUCAAAACUUUUGAUAUGCAUCUGUUUAUGGGGAUUGGAAAAUGUAGGGCUAUGAUUGCUUUUUUUUUCCUGCUGAGACUUUUUACCUUUCAACAAUUUUAUUUCCAGUAGUUAAUUCUCCAUUAUUACUUAGGCCAAUGUGAAACAGCUAAACUCUCAUAUUAUGUAUGGAAAUGAAAAUAAUCC
rnacentral:lncRNA from 1 species